rnacentral:tRNA from 1 species
AAUCUUGUAUUCAACUAUGAUAUUAAAUUGCAAAUUUAAAGGUUAAAUAAUUUAUAAGAUUU